AAAGCUCUCUCCCGAUGCACAACCGUCGGUGGCAGUAAAGGCUUCAGUACGACCCAGUCAGAACUAUAAGUCUCAAAGCCCCGACGAGUAGGGUGGCGUGCCGGUGAGCGUUGAAGGCCAAGACGUGAGUCAGGCUGGAGCCGCCGGUAGUGCAGAUCUUGGUGGUAGUAGCAAGUACUCUGGUGAACCAACCUGGAGCUGUGAGGUCUGGAUCAGGGUUCCAUGUCAACAGUGAUUGAACAUGGGUGAGUCGAUCCUAAGCCAACUGUGAAAGCAGUGACAUCCCGACAAAGGGGCAAUUCGUGUGGCGGCCACACACACGCGUUUGUGUGCACAUUCGCAAGUCUCCUCUCUCUCGACGCGCGCAUGGUUGGCGUGUGAGGCUCUCUCUGGUUACGCUCUCGUAAGGCGUUAUAUGGUAUGAGAGAGAGAAAACGAGGCAGUGCCGCGCGCGUGUGUGUGCGUCCGUUCUCAAGGCUCCCUGCGUCUGGUUCUAUGUCUGGCGAAAGGGAAUGGGGACUUUGUUCCUUGACCGGUCCCGGCACCCUCGAUAGGCUUUGCCAAUCAAUGGUCCAUGCAAAUGGAACCAGGCCACAGCCGCCGGCAGUCGCCCGAGGAAGAGUUUUCUUUUCUGCUUAACGCACGAGAUCAUCCCUGGAAACAGUUCGGCUGGCGAAAGGGUGCCCCGUUGCGGCAGAGCGCCACGACUGUCGUGCGCGUCUCGGUGUUCCUGCCGGUCCGUGAAGACGUGGUCGAGGGGAUUGCUAUUGUAUCAACGAAACGCCCGACAAGUUCGGGACGGACCGUACCCUAUAUCCGCAUCUGGUCUCCAAGGUUCGUAGCCUCUGCAGAGUCAGACACAUGUAGGUAAGGGAAGUCGGCAAACUCGAUCCGUAACUUCGGGAAAAGGAUUGGCUCUGAGGGCCGAGCUGGGCCGGGCCUUGCCUGCAAAGCAGUACCUAUAGUGACCGGAGUUUCAGGAGUGCGAGGGGCUCUAGUAGCUGCCUGCGCGUUCACGCGUGUGGGCACGAACGAGUCUACCGCUCCGCUCCAACCACGAACGGCUGUGACGGCAAGGGCUCUGGGCGGGAGCGUUCAAACCGUUUGUCCCCAGCUCGUCUGGGUGGCGGCGGUGCUCCGUCUGACCCAUACGGCUCCAGCGGCUAGCGGCUAACUCAGAACUGUCAUGGACCAAGGGAAUCCGACUGUCUAAUUAAAACAAAGCGUCGUGACGGCCCCUGUUGGGUGUUGACGCGACGUGAUUUCUGCCCAGUGCUCUG
rnacentral:rRNA from 1 species